CAACUUUCAACAACGGAUCUCUUGGCUCUCGCAUCGAUGAAGAACGCAGCGAAAUGCGAUAAGUAAUGUGAAUUGCAGAAUUCAGUGAAUCAUCGAAUCUUUGAACGCACAUUGCGCCUUUUGGUAUUCCGAAAGGCAUGCCUGUUUGAG
rnacentral:rRNA from 1 species